UGACUGUAAAAUUAGUUUAGUGUAGCUGUUAGCAGUUGCAGCAUGCUCAGAUGAGCAUCUCAAAACUAAAAGAAAAUAGAAUGGUUUUACAUAUGAUCAGCGCUGAACAGUGAAAAAGGUUAUUGAAGUCCGGAAACCACAAGGAAAAGUGCCCAUAUGAGACUGUGGCACACUGUAGAAACUUCAGGACUUCAUUUUCGCAUUUUCCACAAAAAAUACGUAAGGUUGAUGCCAGAAUCCAAGGACAACAGGUGGGAUGGAAAUGCUUCCAGUGAAGGGGAAAAAUCGCCAAGCUACAAUCAGUAAGGAACCUAAACUCUUUAGUUUACACAGUGUAAAAGAGAACAUUACAAUUGGUGCUUACUCAAUUACUGUUACAUCUGGGGGUUCAAACAAUCUACUGAACAUAGACCCUCAAUUUCUAAUUGUAAUAUUUCUUUUCAAGGAUUUGGUUCGAGCUUUUCCAGUAUUAGUGUAUUCUGACUCAUUUGCUGCAAACAAGCGGCCUUGGUGAGGUGAAACACAGUCAAUGGCAUUAAAAUGCAGAGCCACUACCCUUUGCUUUUCCAAGCAAGACAUCUUUUGCUUCAUUUAUUUUAGAAGCAAGGUAAUGGCUACCACCUGAAUCUGGAUGGUUUGCGACCAUCACCCUCCGAUGAGCUUCCUUAACCUUAUCUGAUCGAGUACUUUCUCUAAUUCCAAGUAUUAAAGCUGCUUCCCUCCUCGUCAUGACAGUUUGAAAACCACCCUCAUAGAAUCUGCCCAUCCUAGCUGUUGGAGGUCUUGCCUUGAAUGCCUGCCAAGCCUGGAUACCAUAUCUGCCCGCGUAAGCAACAGCAGCUAUUGCCAUCCCUGCUAUCAAUGGUGUAGCCAUUUAUGUUGUAUACUAUCAACGUUAAAGAAGAAAGGUCGGUCGCCCAAAGAAAAGAACGAAGCUACCACCAGUCAGAGGAGUUUGUUUUGGGUUCAGUCGUUGGAGCACAAGGAAACAUAAAUGCGAGCUGGCCCAGCUGGAGUGACAAUACGCCACCGUUUAAUCCCCAUAUGCGCCACCCGCACCGCACUGUGGUGCAUCCCACCGCACCCAAUUCUCUCCUCACGCUAUCUCUCUCU
rnacentral:misc_RNA from 1 species